rnacentral:misc_RNA from 1 species
CAAGAAGCCGAAAGGCUACUUAAAACCAUCGCGAACUUAUCCAAGUUGCUUCGGCGGCGCGGCUCCCCUCACGGGGGGCCGCAGCCCCCGCCUCUCAGGAGGUAAGGGGCAGCCGCCGGAGGUACGAAACUCUGUAUUAUAGUGGUAUCUCUGAGUAUAAAACAAAUAAGUUA